GGUAGAGACAAGUUCAUUGCACUACUUUCCCCCUCUUUAACUAGAUCUAGGAUCCCUUUGGCUGUCGCCUUCAGGAGAGCCUGCUGCGAAGCUGAAGGCUGCUCUCGGCGGAGGGACAACUGGGCGAUCCCGGAGGGAGACGUGGACGGAUCAGCGCAACCAUCUGGGAGCCCACGAGCCCAUCGCAGGCCUGGCGGUGCGCCCGUCAGUCGCGGGGAGCACCCAGCCACCUAGAAUGCACUGCACUAGGCACGUCGGGGACUCAAGGAAGAACAUGGUGGUACUCCCAGAUGCAUCCUUCUAAAAAUAUGACGACAAGAUUGCUUCAUAUUCUUGGAUGAGAAACAAUUAUCUUUGGGGUUGUUCUGUUAAGUCAGAUUUCCUUCUUUAUUCCCCUCCUUCCUAACACCUGGAGAAUAGGUAAGUCAUGUGUGAACUGUUUCUUAGGAGGCA
rnacentral:lncRNA from 1 species